rnacentral:rRNA from 1 species
UACGUAGGGGGCUAGCGUUGUCCGGAAUCAUUGGGCGUAAAGAGCGUGUAGGCGGUCCGGUAAGUCCGCUGUGAAAGUCGGGGGCUCAACCCUCGAAUGCCGGUGGAUACUGUCGGGCUAGAGUGCGGAAGAGGCGAGUGGAAUUCCUGGGUGUAGCGGUGAAAUGCGCAGAUAUCAGGAGGAACACCCGUGGCGAAGGCGGCUCUCUGGGACGGUACUGACGCUGAGACGCGAAAGCGUGGGGAGCGAACAGG